rnacentral:rRNA from 1 species
AACGAACGCUGGCGGCAUGCCUAACACAUGCAAGUCGAACGAGACCGUCGGGUCUAUGGGCGCACGGGGGCGUAAGGCGGGGGAAGCUGCCCGUAGGUUCGGAAUAACUCCCCGAAAGGGGUGCUAAUACAGGAGAAGGUCUUAGGACCUAAGAGUUAUCGCCUUUGGCUGGGGGCUGGUUGGCUUAGGUGGUUGGUAGGGUAUAAGCGGACCAACGGGACGAUGCAUAGCUGGUCUGAGAGGAUGCUCAGCCACACUGGGACUGCGGCCCGGCCCAGACUCCUACGCGAGGCAGCAGUGGGGAAUAUUGGACGCUGGGCGCAAGUCUGAUACAGCCACGCCGGGUGAGUGAUGAAGGCCUUAGGGUUCUAAAGCUGCCUUACACGAGAUGAUAAUGACGGUAACGGGAGAAUAAGCUCCGGCUAACUACGUG